CGGGACGGGUGAGUAACGCGUGAGUAACCUGCCUUACACAAGGGGAUAGCCGUUGGAAACGACGAAUAAUACCCUAUGACAUAAACUCUUCGCAUGAGGAGCUUAUCAAAGAUUUAUCGGUGUAAGAUGGACUCGCGUCUGAUUAGCUAGUUGGUGAGGUAACGGCCCACCAAGGCGACGAUCAGUAGCCGGCUUGAGAGAGUGUACGGCCACAUUGGGACUGAGACACGGCCCAGACUCCUACGGGAGGCAGCAGCU
rnacentral:rRNA from 1 species